rnacentral:snRNA from 1 species
UGUACUGCUAGACAAUAGACUAAAAUUGGAAUAAUGCAGCAUGACCCUUGCCCAAGGAUGACAUGCCAGUUUGUGAGGCUUGCUGUAUUUGC